rnacentral:lncRNA from 1 species
AUGAAACCUUCACUCUAACGGCUUCGACAUCAUCAAAACCAAACCAAAUCUUCCCAAUCGAGAAGUAAUUCAUCACAUAAGUUGAAUUGUACAUAACUUGAACGUUAGGACCAUAGUGCUUGAUGCGAUUCUUGAUUUCCUUAUAAGUCACAAGGCCGCUAGAAUACAAAGCUGGUCCUGUUGCUGCUGCACCAAUACCGUUGUCCUCAGGUUUCACAAGCGUCCAUGCAUAGCCAUAGAAAGGUAAACAUAAAACCAAUUUAUCAGCCGAUAACCCUUCCUCAAUCCAUUCCGUGAUUCCGUAUUCAGUAUUGGAGAUACUAUUUGGAUCAUACAGAGCCGCGUGAGCACCAGUAAAAUUUGACCACAUAGGUUUUGUGUAUUCAGUAGUCAAAACAUGAACCCAAUUCAAGUAUUGACUUAUCGAGUCGACUGGGUAAGCUCCUGCUCUUGAGAAUGGUGAAUAUGCGACCAUUGCCGUCAAAAUCAACUGUGAUUGGCUCGAGUUAUUUCUUGCUUCUAAAUCUACGGCUGCUCGCCACUCUUUAAAGAGAAUGCCAAUAUUGUACUUAUCCCAGCUUGUGUUUGCCUGAGGCCAAGAGAGAUCUAAGCCUUGAAAGCCAUAAAGUCUUCCUAUUUUUAUUGAGGAGUCAAUGAAGGAUUUCCUAGAAGAAGGAUUGCUCGCCAUGGAAGAAUAAGUUGAAUAGUUUGCAUCAUUUCCUCCGAUGGAAAGAAGUGUAGUGAUUGAUGGGUUCUUUAUUUUGACAGUGUCAGUGAAGUUAGAGAAUUGUUUUUCAUCAGAAGGUGAUAAAGAAAGCUCAUAGGAAGUUGAAUUCGUUGAAACAAAAACAAACGUUAUGCCUUUGAUCGUGCAUUUCCAAAUAAACACAUAUUUUAGGUAAUUCCGAAAUUUACCACGAUCUCCCAUGAAUCCGAACUUGCAGCUUGUUAUGGAGCUUCAACAGAGUUGCUGCUGCUUCGGUCUAGCUUCUGAAUUCCGCUUUCUUUUCCUUCAGCUCCAGAUUCGGCUUUUCUCAGUAAGUUACUGUACACACACGGGAGAGAAACGGGAGAGAGAGAGAUGCACUGCACUCAUGCCAGAGAUUUCUUGAACAGUCAACUUCCAAUGGGCUGAAGUUACUUAAAUACAGUGGUUGAGCGCAGGGAACCCUCAUGUGUUAGUACAAAAUUACCCAUCCCAUUAUGGGCUUAAAUAACACAAUUAAGGAUAUACUUGUCCAUAAUAUACUACUGUACAGGGUAUGUCAAAAUUAGACUCAUUAACACCAUAUUUGAUCACUUAAUAAAUGAGUCUGUCAAAAUUGCUCAACAAUAUUUGACUUUAGUCACGUAUUAAUUCGGUAAAAUAUAGAAAAUAAUUAGAAUGAUUUAUGUCAGUCCACAUAAUGUGAGAAAUAAAUCUAACAGAAUUGACAUUAGCAAAACCACAUAUAAGGUGAGUGAAAAGAGCAGAAUUUACAUCUGAAACGGGGAACCCGUUGCCUGAAUCCCAGUAACCAGCUCUGAUUAAAGUUUGUGUUCCUGCAGGAAGCGAUUCUGAAAAUAUAAAAAUGUGGAGGACAAGAAUGAUAAUUUUGGAUGCCAUUGUGGGAACCUAGCUGCUUUGAGGCAUACCUAGUAAGUGAUUACAUAUAUAUGUACACACACAAUGUAAUGGAGAAAAUAUCCGAUAGCGAUUGAGAUUAGUUAUUGGACUAUAAUACAAACCUGAGGCAACUUUCAGCUCAUGAGCUUAUCUCAUAGGUCUUUAUACGAUAUCAAAGUCAAGUUACGAACGAGUGAUUCUAUACUACCUUUUAAUUUAACAAGGAGAAAGAUAAGAGAUCAACCUACACGUGACAGGGUGAUAGAAAAAAUUUAUCACAUUAGCUAAGAUUAAUUACUAUGUUAAUGAUAUAAGCUCAAAACAACACUCAACUCAAUAACAAGUUGUAAUUUAAUAAAGUUAGGUCAACUCGAUAUUUUAUAGAGUAUGUCGUGAGUGAGGAGGAGUUUAAGCAACAAAUCGAGCUCAUGAGUGAGGACACGUUUGAUUUUCACAAGAUUUUGCGUUUUGUGCACGUUGGUCAUGGACUGAAUCAACUUAGAAAAUAUUUUCACAAGAUUUUGCCUUCCAAUUGCAUGGAUGGAGUUAUAGAGGAAUACAUCGAAAAGUUCGUCUUCUUGCCAUGAUGAUAAGUGAAAAGAUUGAGGUUCUUAAAUUAAGCUAUGACCUUUUACCUCCACUUAGCUUGACUUUUGAAGCUGAAGACUCGUUCUUUUGUAUUGACUUUGUUGGUAUUUAAAUGACCUCGGAGUCUUGGACGUGUUUCUGAAGCAAUGUCAUGGUCUAUGAGUAGAUUUUUUUUUUUGGGUAAGAAAGGGAAAGUCUGUCGUUGGGAAAACAUCCUGACAACGGGAUGGUGGGAGGGAAAAAAAAAAAAAAAUUAUACACUUAGGGUCUGUUUGGAAAAAUGAUUAUAGGGUAUUAUAAUACUAUUCAUAUUGACUUAAUAUCAAUACUAUUCACAUCGAGUUUAGCUUAAUGUGGUAGUUGCCGCAUUAACGUUUUGCUUUUGUUUUUUUUUUUUUACUUUUGCUUUUUAAUAAUAAUAAAUAAUUAUAACUUUUUAAUUUAAUAUAUUAUUAUAUAAUAUCAAUUAUUAUUUUUUAUUUUUACCUCAAAAUUAUUAAAAUAAAUUAAUAAUUUUAUAAUUUAUUAUUCAUAUUUUAAUUUUUAUUAUAUUAAAAAUAUAACUAAAUAAUGUAUUAUUUAAUUAUAUAAUAAUUAAUAUAUAAAAUUAAUUAAUAUUUAAUAAGUUAAUAUAACUAACAAUAAGUACUUAAAUAAUAUAUAAAAAUUGAUUAUUAUUUAGAAAUUUAAUAUAACUAACAAUAAAUAUUUAUAUAUGAAUAAAUUUAAAUAAUAUUAAUUUAAAAUUAAUAUCAACAAAAAUAAUAACGUAAAAUAUCAUUAUGUUAUGAUAUUAUUUAGAGAUUAUUUGAUUAAAUUAUUUACUUCGAUCUUUAUUUCACAUGUUAUAUAUUUAGAAAAUACUGAAAAAUAAAUGUUAUGCUGCCGAAAAUAUAAGGCUAUAAGUUUCGAUCUUUACAAAAAAUUGUGAUGCUUUUUAACAUUUAUACUAAAAAAUAAUGUUAAAUUUCUAAAAUUUAAGACUUAUAUAUUUAGUAGUUUUCUAGGUACUAUAAAUAUUAUUUCCUAAAUAUAUAAUUUAAGUUAAUCACAAAAAAUUAAUACAAUAUAGUGUAGCAUCAAACGUUGUAUAACAUUAUUAUAAUAUAGUGCUAAUACAAUACAGCAUAAUGCAAUACACAUCCAUUAAAAUAAUAUAACAUAGUGUGCUAAACUCACCAUUAAUUACUUCCUAAUGUUAAAAUUCAGUAGUAUUGUAAUUUUAAUAAAAAAUUGAGACCCUUUUAUCAUUUAGAUGUAAUAUACUUACAUUGUUCCCACAACUUGUUUUGUAUUCGCUUCGAGACUCUUUUGCAAAAAUCCUAACCAUACCAAAAUCUGAAAUUUUAGGUUUCAUAUCUUGACCUAACAAAAUAUUACUAGCUUUCAAAUCUCGAUGGAUAAUAGUCAGUCUUGAGUAUUCUUUGAGGUAUAAAAACCUUUGAGUCAUCCCUUCAAUGAUAUGAACACGUUUUUUCCAAUCCAAAAUAAACCUUCUGAUGGGAUCUACAACAGAUAUAUAGUUUUAGACAAUAAGUGAUAUGCAAAUGAAUUAUAUACACAAUUAAUAUUAACUUGAUUUCAGAACAAACCAAAAAGGUAGCAAUCCAAGCUUUGUUUGGCAUGUACUCGUAGACUAGCAUUCGUUCCUCACUGUCAAUGCAAAAACCUAAAACUCUAAUAAGAUUUACAUGUUGGAGUUUUGCAGUAAGUAUAAUCUCAUUCUUAAACUCCUCAAAUCCCUGUGUGGAUGCUUUCGAAAGUUUCUUCAUUGCUAUCACCUCUCCGCAGGGUAGUAUACCCUGCAACCAAAAAACAAAUGUUCAUAUAAAGCUUGCACUAAUUAAAUAAGUUGAGAAAUGUUUGCCAAACAAUAUGUUUCCCUCCAAAGUUGAGGGCACCAUUUUAAGUCCUUUAAGUCCCCAUAGACGCAUGAAUCUCCUCUCAGAAAAUAUGGAUAUGGGUAGACAUAUCUUCCUAAAUAUUAGUAGAAGUAGUUAUAUCUCUCUAGUGCGAGGUCAGAGGUCUCAUGUCUAAUAGGUAUAGAUUUUUAAAUUAUAUGUUUUGGGCCUCUGAAUUUUACUCUAAGUGUAUGAAUUCAAAGUUCCGACAGAAUCCAAAUUGUAACAUUUGUGGAUUUUGUGUGUGUGUGUGUGUUAACUUGUAAACAGGACCAUAUCCACCUUCCCCUAGCUUAUUUCUAACUGAAAAUCCCUCGGUGGCCGCCUCAAUAUCAGCCAAACUAUAUACUCUGAGGUUAGGAACAUUUCUGUUAAAGUCUCCAGCUUCUGCUUCAUCAUUUGCUCUCGUGUUUGACGCUUUAGCAGAGUCCUCUGUUCCUAACAUCAACCAAGAGUAAAUAUUAGAUAAUUAAUUAAAUUUCAGUCUCAGUUACAUGUAUAUGAGUGAAAUACAUACUUAAUUAUAAUUAAUAACUGAAACUUGUUACCUUCAAUUAAGUUGAGCCUUUUCAUCCUGUUGUAUUUAUAUGCACAAAAGCCUAGAAGGAGAGUCAAAGCUGCCGCAGCAGUCGAAAUGAGGACCAAGGACAGACGCCGGUUAUUACUAUGUUCAUCUUUGUCAGCUGAAGCAGAAGUAAUCCUGUCUUUUUGUGCUGGAAAUAUGUAUAGUUCACCAAUUAAUAAUAACUAGCUAGAGAUGCCAUAACAAUCAUUAUUAAUCAGAGAGAACAAUUAUUGCAUAGAUAAAUACCUGCAGCUUGAGAAAGCACCCAAUUAUGAUCAUCAUAAUCCACUCGCCACACAUAGUAACCAAGCAAUCUCUUCUCUUUGGCAUAGGCGAUCUUAGCUCUAACAGCCUCCACAUCAUCAAAACCAAACCAAACCGCCCCAGUGGAGAAGUAAUUCACCACAUAAGUUGAAUUGUACAUAACUUGAACAUUAGGAGCAUAGUUCUUGAUGUGAUUCUUGAUAGUCCUAUAGGUCACAAGGCCAUCAUUAGUCAAAGCUGGUCCUGCUGCUGCUGCUCCAAUACCAUUGUCUUCAGGUUUCACAAGCCUCCAUGCAUAGCCAUAGAAAGGCAAAGACAUAGCCAACUUAUCAGCCGAUAGCCCUCUCUCAAUCCAUGCCUUUAAAACCUGAUCGGUACUUUUAGCAAAGCCGCCGCUACUUGAGCCAUGGAGAGCCGCAGGUGGCGCAGUGAAGUUUGUUGACAAAGGCUCGUAGUAGUGUUCAGUAGCAACAUGAACCCAAUUCAAGUUUCGUUGCAUCGAAUUCACAAGGUACGAAUUGUCUGGUGGUGAAUAAUGAAACCUUGCGGUCAGGAUCAGCUGGGAUUGCUGGCGGUUAGAGCUUUUUGCCUCUAAUUUUGUGGCAGCAGCUCGCCACUCGUCGAAAAGUAAACCAAUAUUGAGCAUAUCGGUGCUUGUGUUAGGAGAUGUCCAAGCAAAGUCUAGGCCCUUAAAGCCAUAAAGCCUAGCUAUUCUUAUUGAAGAGUCGAUGAAAGAUUUCCUGUGAGAAGAAUUUCUCACCAUUGAAGAAUAUAUAGAAUAGUUUGUAUUUCUUCCUUGUCCAAUGGAGAGAAGUGCAGUGAUUGAUGGGUUCUUUUGUUUCAUUUGUUUCACAGUGCCUGUAAAUUUGGGGAAUAUUUGAUUUCCAUCAAAUGGUGAUGAUAAAGAUAGCUGGUAUGUGGUGGAAUUGAUAUCAGCAGAAGAGCAAAUAAGGUGAGUGAAGAGAUCAUAAUUUAUGCCCGAAAUGGCGGAAACAUCGCCUGAAUACAAGUAACCGACCCUGAUCCACGGUUUUGCUUUCGCGGGAUGAAAUUCUGAAUAGAAAAACAUGUGGAAGAUGAUGCUGAUAAUUAUGGAUGCCAUUUGAGAGGCUUAAGCUUCUUAAUUAUUACCACUUCGAAGGGAAUGGAAAUGAAUGCACACUAAGAGAAAUUAAAUAAACACAAGUUUCACAGUUCAUUAAGUUCUUAUGUGUACUAUUAACGUAUAGGUUCAUUUCGUUGCCCAAAAAAAAUCUUAUGUACUCCUGAUAGGGACACACACAUUGCAUGUUAAGAUGAUGAUAGGCGAUGCGACCAUUGCCUAAGAACUAAGAUUUUCUUCUAUCGCCUGGGUGACUUUUCAUGAAGAAAAAUAAUGUUUUGAUUGACAUUUGGUUAAACUGAUGACAUAUUUCGGGCUACAAAUAUCAGUAUUGUUUUAUUAAAUAAUAAAAAUAAUAAUUUUACGUGCAUGUUGAAGGUUAUAUUGCAGUCUUUUGAGCCUGUGUUGAAUUUCAUUCGUGUGCGUUCAUUUAUUAUCCAUCCCCUUUUUUCUCUGAGUCUGCUAGCCGUAGUCAUCUUAAAAGGAUAACAUGUUUAAUGCGUGUAAAUGCACCUCAUAAGUAGUUAAGAAAGAUUUGACCAAACCAGAUAAUUUUCCUCUUAACACAGAAGUAGUUAUCGGACUAAUUAAGAUUCUAAUCCAUUUAAGAAAUAUUCAAAAAGGGUUAUUGUCACUACUUUAGUCCUUGUUGUUUUAUUAAAGAAAAAAAAAAGAUAUUUAAAGAAGCAUCACAUAAAUCCUUCCUAAUUACAUUUUGUUUCAUUCAAGUUCUUGACUUAAUUUGACUGCUUGGAAAAAUUAGUAAAAAGGUAAAAAUGAAAAAAAAAAUGUAAAUUCCAGUUAUUAGACUAAAUAUAUAUAAAUUUGCAACAAGUAGCAAAAGUUUAGAAUAUGAAAAACCCUAUUUUGUUUACGAAAUAAAGGAAAUUCGAAUCAUUUUCAAAAAAAAAAUCUCUAAAAGUUUGAAAACUAAGAUUUUAAGGUCCUUCUAGACUAACCAUAAAUAACAUGAAUUUACCAAAUUAAGCAAACUCGAAUUAUUAUUACACAAUAAAAUUUUACUAAUGGAAAUAAGAAAACAAAAUAAAUAACACUCAAAUUCGAUGUCUAAAAAACAAAGAUAAAAAUCAUGAGAGCAAUAGAAAAAAAAUAAAAUAAACUAAAACUUGCAAAAUGACCAUGAAAGAAAUAAAUUUUUUUGCUGAACCAAGGGGCCGAUACAUAUAGCCUUAUUGUACUAGAUUCAUCUCACUGCAAGUUUCAAAACAAUAUAUUAUAUGUCUUAAACAAACUCUUGUAAAUUAAGUUAUGACCUUAAAAAAUAUCCUACUCAUCUUACAUAAAUAUCCUAUGUCACUAUAUAGCUAUACAAUAAUAAUAUAAUCCAAACACUUAUGGAGCAUAACUCACGCACCUCCAUUAAUAACCGUGAAAUUUACUCACAUUUUAUAAGAGAGAGGAAUGUUCUCAUUUAUUGGGGAUUAAACCAAAUAGUCUAUCUUCGAUAUUUCUGCUAGGUUGUGUCAGGUUGGGCUUUUUAGAAUUUCUUUGACGAAAAGUCAUUCUCUUCAACAGCCAAAUCUUGGGCCAGUGGGCAAUUAUGAAAGUCCAUUGGAUGCAUUGGACCAAACUAAACGUACAAUUUUUUUUUUCUUACAAAAAAAAAAUUAGAGUUGGACUAUUGACACCCCUCUCAUCUCCUCAUAAAACCCCCUUUUUAGUUAUAUUUAUUUUAUUUUAGAAAAUGCCCUUUUUUAGAUACACGUUUCUAAGUUUUUAAUUUUCAUUUGAUUUGUUUUAUUGUUAAAACUCAAAGUAUUAUUGUGUUAUUUUUUAAUUAUUUUCAAUUUUAUUAUUAAUCUACAUACAAAUUAAAAAUUUAUAUGGGUGAUAAGUUUUUUAGUGUUAAUCAUUGGUUGAAAUAACACAUAUUUCAAAUUAUAAUUUCAAAGCAAUUUUAAGUAUAAAAAUAUUUAAUCAAUAAGAAAUCAAAAGAGAAUAAUAGAUUAUUCUAAAUUUGUACAAUUUAUUUUAGUUAAAUAGGAAGUAAAAUAUAAAUUUUUUUAAAAAAUGAUUGAUUAUGAAUUAAGUAAUUUGCUGGGAAAAAAAAUCUAUAUAUGUUUAAUUUUCAAUUGUCUUUAAUUGUAAUUUUAUUUAAAGUGGUGUUUUGUAAGAAUAAUGUAGGGGUGCCAAUAGCUCCACUCAAAAAAUUAUAUCUAUAUAUUCUCUUCAACAACCUAAAACUGGGCCAAUGGGCAAUUAUGAAGUCCAUUGGAUGUAUUGCACCAAACUAAAAGUCCAAUUUUUUUUAUUACUACAAUAUAUAUAUAUAUAUAUAGUAGUUUUCUAAUUAGGGAUUCCUGACUUUAAUAAAGUCAUGGAUCAGCUAAAAGACAAAUAUACAGUGCAUUGGAGUCUGUGUUUAUUUUGUCUUUUAGCUAAUUCCUGAUUUUAUUAAAGUCAGGGAUCCCUGAUUGGAAAACUACUAUAUAUAUAUAUAAACAAAUGUUUUAAUUUAGAAUUUUAAAGUGCGGGAUAGUAUAUAUAUAUAUAUAUAUAAACAAAUGUUUUAAUUUAGAAUUUUAAAGUGCGGGAUAGUCUGGAAUAUGCAGUUUUAAAAACUUAAAACUGUAAGCCUUUAAAACCAUACAAUUUUAAAUUUUUCUCAAAUUUUCUCGUACUUUAAAAUUUCAUACUAAAAAACUACUACAUAUAUCAAUAAAUGAAAUGACACAAUACAGUUGGCUUGCCGUUGCAAAGCCUCUUUGUUUGUUAUUAUUUAUUGGCUUAUUGCAAUAAAGACUAAAGAGAGCUUUGAGCCAUGCAGCAUGGGAAGCUACAUUAAAAAAUAAAAGAAUUUAAAGCUUCAAGGGCAUAAAGCGUGCCCACCCAAUUAAAUUUUUCUUUAAAAAAGAAAAAAAAAGGCUGCAAUUGCAAUGACUUGAAUUUAUCAUCAAUUCUGGCUUAAUUUGCCCCCGUCAUUUUUUCAAGGAGAAUGUCCAACUCAAUUGUGACGGCUACUGCUUCAAUUUUAAUUUUAUUUUUCUCAAGAAUAGUCAUUUUCAUCCACCAUAUUCCUGCAUCCUGAUGCGUCCUUAUUGCUUAUAUUAUUAUAGACCACUUUUGGAAGCAUAACAAAUUUUGCACACAUGGUAUCCAUCUUGCGGACCCAAAUGUUGAUGAUAUACUUGCAUGCUGCAAAAUAAGCCCUUUUAAUAACUUAUCAUCUGGUAAAUGAUAGUUUAUUUAUUUAUUACAUAACAAAUAUGUUAUGCCAUAUGCCACCUAUUAGUGAAAGAUGUUUAAAUAACUACUCUUGUAGUAAACUCCUGAAUGAUGGCAAGUUAGAUUUAUACUUAAUGCACUAACUUCGAUAUUAUUUUUUUUUUACAUGGUAAUUAUUUUCUUCUCGCUAGGAAGUUGCAAUGAUUGAUAAUAAGGGAGCAUUUUGCUUUAUAUACAAUCCUUAAUAGAAGAUUUUCUAGAGAUGUUUAUUAUUAUUAUUAUUAUUAUUAAUCCCGCGUUGGUCAGGAUUUGAUUACUAUAAUAUUGACGAUUCGAUUUCUAACAAUUUUGUUUAUUAUAAAAUUAAAACAAAUGAGUAGUCAUCUAGAAAAUCAUAAUCUCUUUAAAGGCAUCAAAAGGCAAUGGCAAUGUAAAGUGAAUGUGCAUGAAUCUAUUAGUAACAUGUUUGCACGUGUAUUAAUCUUAAAAUAGUCAGUCUUGAAUAUUCCUGGAGGUAUAAAAGCCCUUGAGUUAUCCCUUCAAUGAUAUGAACACGUUUUUUCCAAUCCAAAAUAAGUCUUCUGAUGGGAUCUACAACAAAUAUAUAGUUUUGGACAAUAAGUGAUAUGCAAAUGAAUUUUAUACACAAUUAAUAUUAACUUGAUUUCAGAACAAACCAAAAAGGUAGCAAUCCAAGCUUUUGUUUGGCAUGUAUUCGUAGACCAGCAUCCGUUCCUCACUGUCAAUGCAAAAACCUAAAACUCUAAUAAGAUUUACAUGUUGGAGUUUUGCAGUAAGAAUAACCUCAUUCUUAAACUCCUCAAAUCCCUGUGCGGAUGAUUUCGAAAGUUUCUUCACUGCUAUCACCACUCCACAGGGUAAUACACCCUGCAACCCAAAAAAAAAACCACGUUCAUAUAAAGCUUUCACUAAUUAGAGACGCUGAGAAAUGUUAGCCAAACAAUAUGCUACCCCCCAAAGUUGAGGGCACCAUUUUAAGUCCUUUAAGUCCCCAUGGACGCAAAAUGUAAAUCUCCUCUCACAGAAUAUGGAUAUGGGUAGAGGUAUCUUCCUCAAAUGUUAGUCGAAGUAGUUAUAUCCCUCUAGUGUGAGGUUAGAGGUCUCAUCUCUAAUAGGCAUAGAGUUUUAAAUUAUAUGUUUUGGGCCUCUGAAUUCUACGACGAGUGUACAAAUUCAAACUUCCGAUAGGAUCCAAAUUGCAACAUUGUGGAUUGUAACAAAUUAAAAUAUAGGUACACACACACACACAUGUUACCUUGUAAACAGGACCAUAUCCACCCUCCCCAAGGUUAUUUCUAAUUGAAAAUCCCUCGGUGGCCGCCUCAAUAUCAGCCAAACUAUAUACUCUGAGAUUAGGAACAUUUCUGUUAAAGUCUCCAGCUUCUGUUUCAUUAUUUUCUCUCGUGUUUGAUGCUUUAGCAGAAUCCUCUGUUCCUAACAUCAACCAAGAGUAAAUAUUAGAUAAUUAAUUGUAUGUCAGCCUAAGUUUUAUAUAUAUAUGAAAUGCAUGCUUAAUUAUAAUUGGUAGCUGAAGCUUGUUACCUUCUAUUAACUUGAGCCUUUUCAUCUGGUUGUAUUUAUAUGCACAACAACUUAGAAGGAGAGUCAAAGCUGCCGCUGCAGUCGAAAUGAGUACCAAGGACAGAUGGCGGUUAUUACUAUGUUCAUCUUUGUCAGCUGAAGCAGAAGUAAUGCUGUCUUUUUGUGCAGGAAAUAUGUAUAGUUCACCAAUUAAUAAUAACUAGCUAGAGAUGCCAUAAAAAUCAAUAUUUAUUGGAGAGAACAAUUAUUGCAUAUAUAAAUACCUGCAGCUUGAGAAAGCACCCAAUUAUGAUCAUCACAAUCAACUCGCCACACAUAGUAACCAAGCAAUCUCUUCUCUUUGGCAUAGGCAAUCUUAGUUCUAACAGCCUCCACGUCAUCAAAGCCAAACCAAAUCGUCCGAAUCGAGCAGUAAUUCACCUCAUAAGUUGAAUUGUACAUAACUUGGACAUCAGGACCAUAGUCCUUGAUGUGAUUCUUGAUUUCCUUAUAAGUCGCAAGGCCGCUAUCAUACAAAGCUGGUCCUGUUGCUGCUGCACCAAUACCAUUGUCUUCAGGUUUCACAAGCCUCCAUGCAUAGCCAUAGAAAGGCAAACACAUAACCAACUUAUCUGCCGAUAAUCCUCUCUCAAUCCAUGCCUUUAAAACCUGAUCGGUACAUCUAGCAAAGCCGCCGCUACUUGAGCCAUAGAGAGCCGCAGGUGGCGCCGUGAAGUUUGUUGACAUAGGCUCGCAGUAGCUAGCAGUAACCGCAUGAACCCAAUUCAAGUUUCGUUGUAUCGAAUUCAAAAGAUAUGAAUUCGCUGGUGGUGAAUAACGAAAUCUUGCGGUCAAAAUCAGCGGGGAUUGCUGGCGACUAGAGUUUUUUGCCUCUAAUUUUGU